rnacentral:rRNA from 1 species
UACAGAGGGGGCAAGCGUUGUUCGGAAUUACUGGGCGUAAAGGGCGCGUAGGCGGCCUUCUAAGUCAGACGUGAAAUCCCUCGGCUCAACCGGGGAACUGCGUCUGAGACUGGAAGGCUUGAAUCCGGGAGAGGGAUGUGGAAUUCCAGGUGUAACGGUGAAAUGCGUAGAUAUCUGGAGGAACACCGGUGGCGAAGGCGGCAUCCUGGACCGGUAUUGACGCUGAGGCGCGAAAGCCAGGGGAGCAAACGGG